GACGAACGCUGGCGGCGUGCUUAACACAUGCAAGUCGAACGGUAAGGCCCUUCGGGGUACACGAGUGGCGAACGGGUGAGUAACACGUGGGUGAUCUGCCCUGCACUUCGGGAUAAGCCUGGGAAACUGGGCCUAAUACCGGAUAGGACUCCGGACUGCAUGGUCUGGGGUGGAAAGCUUUUGCGGUGUGGGAUGGGCCCGCGGCCUAUCAGCUUGUUGGUGGGGUGAUGGCCUACCAAGGCGACGACGGGUAGCCGGCCUGAGAGGGUGACCGGCCACACUGGGACUGAGAUACGGCCCAGACUCCUACGGGGGGCAGCAGUGGGGAGUAUUGCACAAUGGGCGCAAGCCUGAUGCAGCGACGCCGCGUGAGGGAUGACGGCCUUCGGGUUGUAAACCUCUUUCAGCAUCGACGAAGCGAAAGUGACGGUAGGUGCAGAAGAAGGACCGGCCAACUACGUGCCAGCCGCCGCCGUAA
rnacentral:rRNA from 1 species